rnacentral:tRNA from 3 species
GCCGAGGUGGUGGAACUGGUAGACACGCUACUUUGAGGGGGUAGUGAGAGAAAUCUCAUAGGGGUUCGAGUCCCCUCCUCGGCACCA